CUACGGGUUGCAGCAGUAGGGAAUAUUGCGCAAUGGGGGAAACCCUGACGCAGCGACGCCGCGUGAGUGAUGAAGGCUUUCGGGUCGUAAAGCUCUGUCAGCAGGGAAGAAAUGGCUUUUCUCUAAUACAGGAGAGUCUUGACGGUACCUGCAGAGGAAGCACCGGCUAACUACGUGCCAGCAGCCGCGGUAAUACGUAGGGUGCAAGCGUUGUUCGGAAUCACUGGGCGUAAAGGGCGUGUAGGCGGCUUGUUAAGUCAGAUGUGAAAUCCUACGGCUUAACCGUAGAACUGCAUCUGAUACUGGCAGGCUUGAGUACGGUAGAGGGUAGCGGAAUUCCUAGUGUAGUAGUGAAAUACGUAGAUACUAGGAGGAACACCAGUGGCGAAGGCGGCUACCUAGGCCUGUACUGACGCUGAUACGCGAAAGCAUGGGGAGCAAACAGGAUUAGAUACCCUUGUAGUC
rnacentral:rRNA from 1 species